GUUUCUGUAGUGUAGUGGUUAUCACAUGCGCCUCACACGCGUCAAGGUCGCCGGUUCGAACCCGGCCAGAAACA
rnacentral:tRNA from 1 species